GUGGGGAAUAUUGGACAAUGGGGGGAACCCUGAUCCAGCGACGCCGCGUGAGUGAAGAAGUAUCUCGGUAUGUAAAGCUCUAUCAGCAGGGAAGAAAGAAAUGACGGUACCUGACUAAGAAGCCCCGGCUAACUACGUGCCAGCAGCCGCGGUAAUACGUAGGGGGCAAGCGUUAUCCGGAUUUACUGGGUGUAAAGGGAGCGUAGACGGCUGAGCAAGUCUGAAGUGAAAGGCGGGGGCCCAACCCCCGGACUGCUUUGGAAACUGUAUAGCUAGAGUGCAGGAGAGGUAAGUGGAAUUCCUAGUGUAGCGGUGAAAUGCGUAGAUAUUAGGAGGAACACCAGUGGCGAAGGCGGCUUACUGGACUGUAACUGACGUUGAGGCUCGAAAGCGUGGGGAGCAAACAGGAUUAGAAACCCCGGUAGUCC
rnacentral:rRNA from 1 species